rnacentral:tRNA from 1 species
GCGCCCGUAGCUCAGCUGGAUAGAGCGUCAGAUUCCGGUUCUGAAGGCCAGGGGUUCGAAUCCCUUCGGGCGUA